rnacentral:rRNA from 1 species
UACGUAGGGGCCAAGCGUUGUCCGGAAUUACUGGGCGUAAAGGGCUCGUAGGCGGCCAACUAAGUCGGAUGUGAAAUCCCCAGGCUCAACCUGGGAACUGCAUCCGAUACUGGAUGGCUUGAAUUCGGGAGAGGGAUGCAGAAUUCCAGGUGUAGCGGUGAAAUGCGUAGAUAUCUGGAGGAAUACCGGUGGCGAAGGCGGCAUCCUGGACCGACAUUGACGCUGAACGGCGAAAGCUAGGGGAGCAAACGGG